GACGAACGCUGGCGGCGCGCUUAACACAUGCAAGUCGAACGGAAAGGCCUGCUUUCCCUUGUGGAUUGCGGGUACUCGAGUGGCGAACGGGUGAGUAACACGUGAGUGAUCUGCCCCCAACUUGGGUAUAAGCCUGGGAAACUGGGUCUAAUUCCCGAUAGGACUGCAGGGUGGUGCCUGUGGUGGAAAACGAUUUUCUAGUGGUUGGGGAUGAGCUCGCGACCUAUCAGCUUGUUGGUGGGGUAAUGGCCUACCAAGGCGGCGACGGGUAGCCGGCCUGGGGGGUUGGAGGGCCAAUUUGGGAUUGGGUUACGGCCCGGACCCUACCGGGAGGCGGCGUGGGGAAUAUUGCACAAUGGGCGGAAGCCUGAUGCAGCGACGCCGCGUGGGGGAUGACGGCCUUCGGGUUGUAAACUCCUUUCGACCGCGAGGAAGCCACCUGGUUGGAAGGGUGGUGACGGUAGUGGUAGAAGAAGCACCGGCUAACUACGUG
rnacentral:rRNA from 1 species